rnacentral:rRNA from 1 species
GACAAACGCUGGCGGGGUGCAUGAGACAUGCAAGUCGCACGGGGUUGAUCGGGCUUGCUCGAUCAACCUAGUGGCGAACGGCUGAGUAACGCGUAGGUGACCUACCCGGAAGUGGGGAAUAACUGCCCGAAAGGGUGGCUAAUACCGCAUGUGGUCGGCGAAUCAGAUCGCCGUCCAAAGCCGAAAGGCGCUUCCGGAGGGCCUGCGUCCGAUUAGCUAGUUGGCGGGGUAACGGCNCACCAAGGCGACGAUCGGUAGCUGGUCUGAGAGGAUGAUCAGCCAGACUGGGACUGAGAACGGCCAGACUCCUACGGGAGGCAGCAGUCGGGAAUUUUGCCCAAUGGACGAAAGUCUGAGGCAGCAACUCCGCGUGAGGGAUGAAGGCCUU